ncrna:Thermotoga lettingae TMO HNH endonuclease-associated RNA and ORF (HEARO) RNA
GUCAAUUACCCACCGCUUGUAAAAGCGGGAGCUUGAAAAAACCCUGAUUGACUACCCUCAGCCAGGGGAAGUUGAUCUUCCUAUCGGGCUACGUUAGACAGUUGCACCCUAUGAUGCUGCUCAAGUUCCAGGCACUGUCGUACAGGUCUAAACAGUCCUGAGGGGUAGGGACAGUGAUCUGCACAUAACAAGCCUGUCUAACAUUGGGGAUGAGCACCUUAC